rnacentral:tRNA from 1 species
AAAAUCCGUUGGCUUUAUUGACCGUGAGGGUUCAAGUCCCUCU